rnacentral:sRNA from 1 species
GUAGAUGCUCAUUCCACUUUUUAUGUUCGCCUUCGUGCCUCAUAUACCCCGGAAUGACGCAGAGCCAAUUUACGGUGCUUAUCGUCCACAGACAGAUGUCGCUUCGGCCUCAUCAAACACCAUGGGCAUAACGUUGAGUGAAGCACCACUAUGUUGUCAAACAGACCUGUUUAACGCCUGCUUUUAUAGCAGGCGUUUUUUU